rnacentral:rRNA from 1 species
AUGAACCGGGGCGAGUUACCGGAGGAUGAAACCUCGGCCCGGCAGAUAAUCCGGCGUUCCAAGUCGAUGACCAUAAUCAACGAAGAGUUACAUCGUUACAGCGUCUCAGGGGCAAUUCAGCGUUGUGUCUCUCUUCAAGAGGGUUGUGAGAUUUUGCGAGAAAUCCAUGAAGGGGAUUGUGGUCACCACGCCGGUUCAAAGUCUUUGGUAGCUAAAGCUUUUCGCCACGGUUUUUAUUGGUUAACAGCUCACGCUGAUGCGGAGGAUUUAGUCAAAAGAUGUGACGGUUGUCAAAAAUUCGCACGCCGUGCUCAUAUUCCGGCUUAG